CGCAGCUGACAUCAAAAGGUCACAGGGCACCCAGCCUUUUGAAAAACCUUCCUGCAUGAUCAGGUGACCGGGGCUGCGGGAACAGGUAACAUGUACUUGAGGAGAAUAAACCGACCGACAAAAAGAAGAUGAGGACAGGUGAUUUGAAUAAAGUGAGUUAUUUAUGCAUUGCCGUUAUUUACGCCGAGAAAUUCUGGUUUCCAGGGCAGCAUCUUAAGUUUUCUUUAAGAAAAGGAAUUUAUGAAGUGAAAUAUGUGCGUUGAUUUACAGGGAGAGACAUUGCUUCGUUUCACAGAAUGUAAAGUAAUCAUCAAGGUUUGGCCGGUUUCUCUGUAGCAGGGUGUGCUCAUCGGAAUCGAACUUGGCCAAAGCAGACGUGCUUUAAAAUAGAGACCCUCACCCAGAAAAUGGGUAUCUCUCCUUAUUAUUUUUAUGAAACUGAUAUGAAACCCUUCACAAGGAGGAAGACAAUACUUACAAUUUUUUAAGGAAGUGCUUGUACCGAACUGAGACAGCUGUAGUGUACUCGUGGACAUCAACACACAAGAAUGUUAUCUUUCUGCUCUUCAUUUUCUUCCUCACUUGAACCUGUUUGUGAGUCCAGCAUGGCCAUGUAAGGGACGGAAUGUCAUGGUUCCUACCCUUGGAAGGGGGACAGCAGGCCUUGGGCCUCCGUGAGUGUUGAUGGUUGCUGUGGGUGUAAGGCUUAUUUGUAUAAUAAUUACCAUAGUUUCAUGCUCCUUCUCUGAGGAAUGCCCUCUCUGCUAAGGUUAAAGACUCCAUGAUAAUCAGAGACAACAAGAGUCUGGGAGGCACAAAGUUUGGAGCUGAGGUGGAAGGAAGGACCAUCCCGGUGAUCCAUCCCAUAAACAACCACUAAACCUAGACACUAUAACAUAUGCCAGUAAGAUUUUGCUGACAGGACCCUGAUAUAGCUGUCUCUUGUGAGACUAUGCCGGGGCCUAGCAAACACAGAAGUGGAUGCCCCCAGUCAUCUAUUGGACGGAACACAGGGCCCCCAAUGGAGGAGCUAGAGAAAGUACCCAGGGAGCUGAAGAGGGCUGCAACCCUAUAGGAGGAACAACAAUAUGAACUAACCAGUACCCCAGAGCUCGUGUCUCUAGCUGCAUAUGUAGCAGAGGAUGGCCUAGUCAGCCAUCAUUGGGAAAAGAGGCCCUUGAUCUUGUGAAGAUAAUAUGCCCCAGUACAGGGGAAUGCCAGGGAUGGG
rnacentral:lncRNA from 1 species